rnacentral:rRNA from 1 species
AGAGUUUGAUCCUGGCUCAGAGCGAACGCUGGCGGCAGGCCUAACACAUGCAAGUCGAACGGGCACCUUCGGGUGUCAGUGGCAGACGGGUGAGUAACACGUGGGAACGUGCCCUUCAGUUCGGAACAACCCAGGGAAACUUGGGCUAAUACCGGAUACGCCCUUCGGGGGAAAGAUUGAUCGCUGAAGGAUCGGCCCGCGUCUGAUUAGCUAGUUGGUGAGGUAAUGGCUCACCAAGGCGACGAUCAGUAGCUGGUCUGAGAGGAUGAUCAGCCACACUGGGACUGAGACACGGCCCAGACUCCUACGGGAGGCAGCAGUGGGGAAUAUUGGACAAUGGGCGCAAGCCUGAUCCAGCCAUGCCGCGUGAGUGAUGAAGGCCCUAGGGUUGUAAAGCUCUUUCGGCGGGGACGAUAAUGACGGUACCCGCAGAAGAAGCCCCGGCUAACUUCGUGCCAGCAGCCGCGGUAAUACGAAGGGGGCUAGCGUUGCUCGGAAUCACUGGGCGUAAAGGGCGCGUAGGCGGAUCUUUAAGUCGGGGGUGAAAGCCCAGGGCUCAACCCUGGAAUUGCCUUCGAUACUGGAGAUCUUGAGACCGGAAGAGGUAAGUGGAACUGCGAGUGUAGAGGUGAAAUUCGUAGAUAUUCGCAAGAACACCAGUGGCGAAGGCGGCUUACUGGUCCGGUUCUGACGCUGAGGCGCGAAAGCGUGGGGAGCAAACAGGAUUAGAUACCCUAGUAGUCC